rnacentral:rRNA from 1 species
UACGAAGGGGGCUAGCGUUGCUCGGAAUCACUGGGCGUAAGCGCACGUAGGCGGAUCUUUAAGUCAGGGGUGAAAUCCCAAGGCUCAACCUUGGAACUGCCUUUGAUACUGGGGAUCUCGAGUCCGGAAGAGGUUGGUGGAACUGCGAGUGUAGAGGUGAAAUUCGUAGAUAUUCGCAAGAACACCAGUGGCGAAGGCGGCCAACUGGUCCGGUACUGACGCUGAGGUGCGAAAGCGUGGGGAGCAAACAGGG